GAUGACAAUGAAGAACUAGAAGAUGGUGAUGAACUAAGUAGUGUUGUUUUUUGUUUUUUCACCUUAUUAUUUUUAUUUGUUUCUCCUAUUUCAGAAGAAGGAGGAGGAGGUUUUGAAGGGGGUGUAGUUGGUGAAAGUGCAAAUAAUUCAUCAUGUCGAUGAUU
rnacentral:ribozyme from 14 species